UGGGCCGAGCUGGAUUUGAACCAGCGUAGACAUAU
rnacentral:tRNA from 1 species